ensembl:lncRNA
AUGUCAAUUGAUUCUCUUUGUAUUCAACUGCAUAUUAUAAUAUCACAGAAGAUAUUCACAGAAUAUGACAGAAGGUCAUCGAUGCAAGAAGUGGCUGUGGCCUUUCCUUUCAACUGGAGCAAUGGUGGUGAGGGGGAGGAGGAACAAAGGGGCUUUCCAGGGUGCCUGACAUGCCAGCCUCCUUGCUGCUUCUUGGACAUAUCACAACACUCCCACCGUGGCCUUGUCUUUCCCAUCAAGCAUUGUCCCUCUUUCAAAUGUUAUAGAUGUGAACUCAUCAGAAAAGGGAUGUGUUAGCAAUGUGUGUCUCCAAAGGCGAAGACCUGCAGCUCUGCAGAGCUGUGCCUGUUGGUGGGGAGAGGAAUUCAGAAAGCCACGUGGGGAAAUGAAAGUUGCAAAUACACUGCUUGGCUGUCACCAGCUAAACCUUCAUGAAAUUGCUACGUCUGCCCUCUCUUCCCAAAGCAGCUGCUAUCUGGGGUUGGUCUUCAGCUUUUCUAGUGAUUGUCCAUAACAGGAACAACAAAUACGCUCUUAGACACCUGUGAGAAAGCUGGGAAGGGGAUGCGUAUACUUAAUGAAAACUGUUAUUGAAAUUAUCUAUGUCUAGAUAUAGAUAGUAAUAUACACAGUAACAUGUUGUUGUAUUAUAAUUCAUAUCUAUUUAUUUAUAUAAUAUAUAAUGUUAUACACACACACACACACAUAUAUAUAUGUAUGUAUGUAUAAAAUUGCAAGUCAACCCCUGAAAAUGAGUGGGUUGUAUGCUUGGGCUGUGUCAUGUCAAUCAAACACUAGGUCUUCAUUUUCUCCAAAGAAAAACAAAAUUCUUGAAGAAAAUUUUAUCCAACGCCCCUUUUUGUUUCAACUUAAAUUCUCAUGGACUAAUUCAAACAUUUCAUUUUCUUGGUUGCAGGCUAUUACGGUCUGACGUAAUAGCAGACUAUUACGUCAGGUUGCAGGCUAUUACGGGUUGCUGACGUAGCCCAUGAGCGAAUGUGUUGGAUUGCUGCCAUUGACAAACUUCAGGCCGUUUCUCAUGUCCCUGCCCCCAGCUCUGAGAGGGCGUGGGGAUGAGUCACAGCAUGGAGUCCAGACCUGAGGGUGAUAGAUAGGUAAAGAUGGUCCUAGGACCAUCUUCCUCAGGGCUAUGCCGAGCAGGAAGAUGGCACGAGUGUUUUCCUAUGACACAGCUGUCUGAUAAAUUCCCCCCGAAGCAAAGUUAAUACCUGGAUACACUGCACCGACAGCCAAGACAGAGAGCGAGGGGCACGCUAGGUAAGCCGUGUCUUCUGCUUUACUCCAAGAAAGACUCUGGAUAGCACAAGGCCUCCAGCAUAUUUUGACAGACUGUUUUGUACCAGAAAAGCUAAUUUGCUAUGAUUAGUUGCACUACAUUUGUGAGAUAGUUACUCUAUGUUUAUUUGGAAGGCAGAUGAGAGUAUCUUUUGGUGAUUUUUCUUUAUGAGCUGAAGAAACUCUCUAAAUUUUCUUAAAAAAAAAAAAAAAAAAGCGACCAUGAAUAAAACUUCUUGGGUCCUGGGAAAUAGAAAUGUUUAUGCACCAUGAAAAGACAAAAGGGGCCCGCACCACUUACAAGCAGCCCCAGCAAAAACGCGGAGGGAGAGGAGGGAGCCGGAGGGCCCAGGGAAGCCAGGUAUAGCACUGAGGCCUGGGGGAGACUGAGCCAAUGGUGAGCAGGGAGAUGCAAGCUGGAGGAGCUUGAGCUAAAGGCCCAGAUCAGUCAGGAAGAAAUAGAGAGGCCUUUCAGAAAGUUCUCAGAGUAGCAGACAGGAAUAAAGGGAGAAUUGGAGGCUUUGUGGAGUAGCACUGGAGAGAGAGGGAGACCCUGGGGCUGAACACAGAGAAGUAGAACUUGAGAAAAGCUUGAUACUGAUGGGAAGACACCCUAAUCUCUUGCUCUCAUCUUUCUUUCUUUCUUUCUUUCCUUCCUUCCUUUUUCCUUCCUUCUUCUCUACUUUUCUCCCUCCCUCCCUUUCAGUCGCACUCAUACACACACACACAUAAUGUCUAAUACAUGUCUUUCUUUCUUCCAUGAAAUUCUAUGUUCUAUGCAAUACAGGCCUCUUGGGCCAACUACAAAUCAUCAAUGAAGUCUACAUUUCUCAUGAAUGCCUGUAGUAUGAGUUUUCUUUUUAAGGGAUGCAAGAAAAUCCUAAAUCCUGCUUUGGGAGUGGCAUGAGAGAAAUCUAGGCACAUAUAUCCUCUUUUGAUUCUUGUAGUCACAAAACAAGGUCAGUGUAAUUGAUAGGGCUGCAAAAGGAAGAUAGAAGUUUGAAACCCUGAUCCCACAUUCCUUUACACCUGCUUAGCAGCUCUGACCUCUGUCCUUCCCAUUCUGCAAUGCAGAGUCCUCCGCCCCGCAACAACUAACUCCCCACCUCCCCUCUCCCAAGGGAAGUAAACCCAGGUGGUCAUUGUCAGGGGCAGUUCCCAGGACUCGGGAAAACCACAGCCUCAAUGCAUGAGCCUAGGCUGCCUCAGAGCCAGGUAAAGUCUGUUUCACCUGGUGGCUGCUUAUCAGCAUGCUCUCCCAUGCUUCUGAGAGGACCUGCUAGGCGUGACCUCUCUAAUUCUGCACAAACUCCGUUAGGCCUGGGCUCAGGUGGGAGCAGAAAGUAGGAGAGCUGUUCCAGGUGCAAGGCCAGCUGGGAACCGAGAACCAAGGACAAGAUGCCCUGAAACUCCAUCUCAGGGUGUGCAGAGGCAGGUGUCAAAGGAGGCGGCACCUUCUUCGUAUUCUUAACACAUCUUUGCAAGACUCGAGACCUUGCAGUUUACUCAUGGUGCUGAUCAAAAGAGGGGUUUUUUUUUAGAGAUUAAAAAAGAAAAGCAAAGAAAAGCCAAGUGUUCACGCAUGCAGUCUUCGUAAUUAACACGGCAGGCUCUGAGCGAGAGAGAAAGCACAUCAGAAUUUUUGGAAGCAGCUGUUCUCCCAGCAGUAGUCUCUUCUCAGGGAAGCUACAGGCUGAUGCUCUCAGAGCCUGUGAAUUCAGAGGCCUCUCACCACUUCAAAUGAAGGCCAGGCUGAGGGCUGGGGAAAGUACUCGUUCUUAAAGCCAACCCAAUUGGCAGCUGGAGUCACAGAACCUAGAAUCCACGUGAGUCAAGAGUCACCCAAAGCCUGCAGUGAUCAAGGGUUGACUGUGUGCCCGACUCUCUGCUAAAUUCAUGAUCUGCAUUUUCUCAUUUCAUCCUAGAAACACCACCAUGUGGUAUUAAUGACCCCACCUUACCAAUGAGCUAACAUCACUGCCCACAGCCACCCAGUGCAGAAGCAAUGCAGAAUGGGAUUGAAGACAGGUUUGCCUGAAUUAAAGCCCAUGCAUCAUGCUCCCCACCUGUGUGCCAGACUGCCUUCUCCUAGCUUACCCUUCUUUUGCUAUUGGGCUAUUUCCAGUGUCUAGCAUUGUUGAGAUUAAAUUAAAGCUUAAUAAUUAUGCAAAUAAAUUUUUGUUUUAUUGAUUCUCCUUCAGGAAGCCGUCACUAACCCCAGAUCCCUUCUCUAUGCUCAUGGCACACAUAUUCUUGACUCCUAUGGUGGCUCACAUCACACUGCUUGUAAUUAUUUAUUCUUAUUGGCCUUUCUUGCAACACUGUGAACUCCUUUGGGGAGAGCAGUAUGUGAGUGGGGGGCAACUUUGUAUUUAUCCCCAGCACAAUGUCUGAUUUAUAAUAGAUAUUUGUUGAGUGAGUGACCU